rnacentral:rRNA from 1 species
GACGAACGCUGGCGGCGUGCCUAACACAUGCAAGUCGAGCGAGUGAAUCUCCUUCGGGAGUGAAGCUAGCGGCGGACGGGUGAGUAACACGUGGGCAACCUGCCUCAUAGAGGGGAAUAGCCCUUCGAAAGGAAGAUUAAUACCGCAUAAGAUUGUAGCUUCGCAUGCAGUAGCAAUUAAAGUUGCAAUCCGCUAUGAGGUGGGCCCGCGGCGCAUUAGCGAGGUGGUGAGGUAACGGCGCACCAAGGCGACGAUGCGUAGCCGACCUGAGAGGGUGAUCGGCCACAUUGGGACUGAGACACGGCCCAGACUCCUACGGGGGGCAGCAGUGGGGAAUAUUGCACAAUGGGGGAAACCCUGAUGCAGCAACGCCGCGUGAGUGAUGACGGCCUUCGGGUUGUAAGGCUCUGUCUUCAGGGACGAUAAUAACGGUACCUGAGGAGGAAGCCACGGCUAACUACGUGCCAGCAGCAGCCGCCG